UUAGAGACUCGUUUGGAGUAUAAACAAAAUUAAGAAAGCUUACUUAAAGUAGCUUUGGUUUUUUUACUGGUUGGUAUAUAAAAGAAAUAACCCCUAAGAUUAGUAUCAGGGAUAAGAAAGAGAUUAGAAACUAGAAGUUGGAAGUUAGAAAAAGGAUGCAAGUCUAAAUUCUAACAAUCUAAACUCUGACAUCUAAGACAGUCUCGUAGCUCAGCUGGUUAGAGCGCUACACUGAUAAUGUAGAGGUCGGCAGUUCGAGCCUGCCCGAGACUACUAAUUUAAGAUAGAGGGGGAAUUAGCUCAGCUGGCUAGAGCGCCUGCCUUGCACGCAGGAGGUCAAGGGUUCGACUCCCUUAUUCUCCACAAGGGUUAGAUAUUUAAUUUAAAAGUGACGGAUGGAGCCAAAUACAACAUCAGUUCAUUAAAUAUUUAGCGAGCGUAAAGCACAUUGACAUUAACGGUAAAAGACAUCACAAAGAGAAAACCGAGCACUUAUAAGUGCUUGAGUAACCAAAAAUAUUAGGAAAGAAAUCGUUAAGGGCGUAUGGCGGAUGCCUAGGCUUUCAGAGGCGACG
rnacentral:tRNA from 1 species